AUACACACUUCUUCUCCGUUGAUCAAUUAGUCUAUAGUUACCCAGCAAUCAUCACCAUCUACUGAGAGCCAUGUCUGUGCCCAGGGCAGUGCUAAUGCUGUUCUCACAACACUUUUGGUCUUGGCUGAGAAGUAGAAAACACACAGAGAGAACUUGGGUCCUUUGCUUGUGUGCAGUUGGCCCUGGCCCUGGCUGCAUCAAUGUCCUUCUUGCUUUCCCUGAUCCCAGCCUUAGUCACAGUUCAGUGACUCACCCUCCAGGAGCUGUUGGGAAGUACAGAUGUUGAGGCGUGUCCUUUUCUUGCAGGCCGGGACACCGUGCUUCUCCUAUAAGGCAGAAACUGACUUGGCAUUUGAACCAGUUUAAGGCACGAGGAGGAAGUGUUGACACAAAGCAGAUCACAUAUUAGAGACCAUCCCAAGGUCCCUUGUGACCCUUGCAUGUGCUUGUCAUUUUCAAGUUGAGUAGGGUGGUGGGCAGGUUUUUGACCUUGAGUAUGAACUCUGACAUUCUAUCUCUGCCCCACUGUUACUGGGUAUGUGGCUGGCUGGGCAGGAUACUCACUGCCCGCUCUGAAGCUUGACCUCUUCCUUGGCAUAGGGUUUAAAUGAGAUAAUGAUAAGGAGAGGUCUGGUGCCUCACAAAUAUCCAAUAAUUAGACAAAUGGGAUAUAUAUAUAUAUAUAUAUAUAUAUAUAUAUAUAUAUAUACACAUAUAUAUAUUUAAAUAUAAAUAUAAAUAAAUAUAUAUAAAUAAAUGUAGGCUUGGCUUUUGUCAUCAGCUGUCACCAGGACAGAGUUCUUUCUUGGGCUUUCCACCAUCUCUGAUAUCUUCUUCUUUUUCUUUCCUCCUAAGUCCACCCGCAAAUAUGAAACACGUAGACACAAACUCCCUACAGAAAUGCUUGUGAGGGUUGUUAACUCAGCCAUUUUCCAUUAGCAAAAUUAAAUAGUCCAGAGACAUCUGGGAUGCAUGCUUCGGGAGUCUGCUCUGUGCUGGCGCUUUAUUUUCAAGCACGAUGUCCUUGAAAAAAAAAAAAAGGAGGGCUCCUGAGCCUGCUGGGACUUUCUCUGCCCCCUCUCUCAUUUUUGCUCCCGAAAAGCACAGCCGAGGAACACUUGGGUGGGCUGGUAAUGAAAAUAUAACCCUGGCUGGGGACAACUUUCUCUCUGCCAGCUCUCAGGCCUGUGCAAGGAGCCCUGAAUCCCUAGGGCAGGGAUCUGGUCUGGGAGUGGCUCCUGGAACCUUAGUGUGCCAUGGGGGAGGAGCAUCUAGGCUGCACUGGACACCCCGCUGAGAAGGGGUCAUUCGGGUGAAGCCUUUUUCCAUUAGAGGCUUGUAGACAUUUACCCUUGGGUCUCUGCUCUAGCGUUCUCCAUGCCCAGGCAGAUCUGAAGGGCUACAACAGCAUGUGUCAGCUGAGAUAUGACUCAGCUAACAGAGUGGGCCUCCUGGGGCUCUGGAUGAUGCAAAUCCGCCUGGCGAUUCUGCCCUGUGCUCGUGGGAGAGGAGAUGGGAAAACAGGAAAGAUGCUGUCGUCUGAUGAAACCAUUGACCCUCAUCAGCCUCGUGCCUCAACCCUCAGAGGGGCUGCUUCAAGGGAUUCAAAAAGACUUGGGUUUUGGAUUUUAUGCGAAGUGCCUGACGUUACUACUCAUCCUGCAAACAGUGCUGGGGCUGUCAAACCCGUCACCAUGCCUGUGGCCUGUGAGAACAACAACCAACUGCGAAUUAAAGGACUUACCUCUCCCUGAGACAUCUUCAGCUGUGAGCUAACCCAUUUCUGCCUCUGGCUCUACCGUCCUCUACAUCGUCUUCCUGUCUCUCUCUGCCAGGGUCACAGAUGCUGCCAGGGGAGUCUCCAGGCAGCGUGUUUCCAUCCUCUCACUGUGGUGGACCCGGAUCUUGGCAUCCUGUCUGUAACUAUGGAGUGGAUGAUGGUGUUACUGCUAGGGCUCUAUUGCGAUAGAAAAGUCAGUGGAAGCAUGGCCGGACCUCAUGGAUUAAAGCUGAG
ensembl:lncRNA